rnacentral:misc_RNA from 1 species
GUAGGUGAACCUGCGGAAGGAUCAUUACAAUAUAAAAAGGCCGCAAGGCCGCCCCCGCGGCGUUUGCUCUUGCAGCUUGCGCCAAAGGGAAACACUUUGUGAAAACCCCUCGUUGCUUUCGGCGGCACUCCCCCAAAUGCGGGGGGGGUUAGUCCGCCGAAUGGCACCCCCAAAAAUUCUUUUUUUAAUAUAAGCUGUCUGAAAAAUCAAGUCGAAUUGACUAUAAAACUUUCAACAACGGAUCUCUUGG